rnacentral:misc_RNA from 1 species
GCAAACUUGGUCAUUUAGAGGAAGUAAAAGUCGUAACAAGGUUUCCGUAGGUGAACCUGCGGAAGGAUCAUUAUCGAAUAAAUCUGGCAUGGUUGUAGCUGGCUCUUAGGAGCAUGUGCACACCUGUCACCUUUAUCUUUCCACCUGUGCACCCUUUGUAGCCCCAGGAUAACCUCUCGCGCACUCUGGUGUUGCGGAUGCGAAGGUUGUCGUGCCUCACUGGCUGGCUUCCAUUGAAUUUCCUGGGUCUAUGUUUCUUACACACCCCUGUAUGUUAAAUAGAAUGUUGAUUUCAAAUGGCUUUGGCCUAUAGAAACUCAAUACAACUUUCAGCAACGGAUCUCUUGGCUCUCGCAUCGAUGAAGAACGCAGC